UAAUGAAAUGUAUGCGUAAGACGCUCUGGAUAAGAGCGUCUGCUAAAUGAUGUAAA
rfam:Salmo salar isolate Sally breed double haploid chromosome ssa16, whole genome shotgun sequence.